rnacentral:rRNA from 1 species
UUGACCUCGAAUCAGGUAGGAAUACCCGCUGAACUUAAGCAUAUCAAUAAGCGGAGGAAAAGAAACCAACCGGGAUUACCUCAGUAACGGCGAGUGAAGCGGUAACAGCUCAAAUUUGAAAUCUGGCUCCUCUGGAGUCCGAGUUGUAAUUUGUAGAAGAUGCUUUGGGUUGUGGGUUCGGCCUAAGUUCCUUGGAACAGGACGUCAUAGAGGGUGAGAAUCCCGUAUGUGGCCGAGGCCCGCGCCUAUGUAAAGCUCUUUCAACGAGUCGAGUUGUUUGGGAAUGCAGCUCAAAAUGGGUGGUAAAUUUCAUCUAAAGCUAAAUAUGGGCCAGAGACCGAUAGCGCACAAGUAGAGUGAUCGAAAGAUGAAAAGCACUUUGGAAAGAGAGUUAAACAGUACGUGAAAUUGUUGAAAGGGAAGCGCUUGCACCCAGACUUGGGCGCUGCUGAUCACCUUGCGGUCUCCGCGAGUGCACUCGACAGCGCACAGGCCAGCAUCGGUUCGGGUGGCUGGAUAAAGGCCGUAGGAACGUAGCUCCCUUCGGGGAGUGUUAUAGCCUACGGUGCCAUGCAGCCCAGCCGGACCGAGGACCGCGCCUUCGGGCUAGGAUGCUGGCGUAAUGGGUGUAAGCGACCCGUCUUGAAACACGGACCAAGGAGUCUAACAUCUAUGCGAGUGUUUGGGUGGCAAACCCAUACGCGGAAUGAAAGUGAACGUAGGU